rnacentral:lncRNA from 1 species
ACACUGUUGGUGAUCGUGAAUGAUACUGUCCUUAAUAGGUAAGCUUUUAGUUUCACUUUAGGUAGACUGUGUCAACACAUCCGUCCAAGUAGAAAGAAUCACUAAGCACACAUUGAUUUUUUGAGAAAGUACAAGUAUCAAAGAAAAGCAACAACGUUUGAAGUAGUUUGAAGAUAAGCAAGACCCAAAGCAUUCAACCAGAAGAUGUUGAUAUUGUACCUUUUUCCCAUACUUGAUUUUUAUAAAGAAACACACAUCUUUUACUUCAAAUUACUAUUAUCAUCAUACCUGCUCUUUCCUAGACUGUACUUGGCAAAAAUUCAAUAUGUAAUGGAGCCAUAGCUUAGUUUACUGAAACUCAAACGUGAAUUGAUGCUUUAACAUAAAUGGUUUUAAAAUUUGCGCUACUCAACUCUAAAUGUUAUACAGUAAUUUUGAUGAAUAAUUUUUGUUUAUAGGUGUUUAAAAAGGAGAAAAACCAAAAUGAACCAAACCAACCAAAACAACAAUAAAAAACAAUUUGAAGGCAACUUUUAGUGACCUAAACUUUGAAGUAUGAAUUGGAGUCAAAACUAUUCCAUUUCUUCUUCCUUUUUUUUUUUUAAUUGUUUUGGGGAUCUCUAUGGAAGACAAUACUUUAAAUUAAUUUUGGAGUGCAAAAUACUUUUAGCCAAUGUUUUCCCUCAUCAUUGCUAAAUGCUACAGGUAAUACCUGCAGUAUUAUAUGUGGACAAUGUAACUUUCUCUGUUUUGCAUUGGAGGAUGUUUAUGUCUGUGGGAUAAUACCCUGAAGUCUGUAGAUUUAAAGUACAAGUUUGAAUUGAGUCUUCUCCAAUUGAAGCCUGUCAUUUUGUCAACUGAGAAACAUUCCUGAUAGAUGAAAGGAAAGGAAAUAAAAGUCUAAGAAUUAAAUGAGUUUUGAAGAAACUUCCACAGUAUAUGCUUGGGAGUGAAUUUCUUGUUGCUUUGCAUAAUAUGUUUGGCAUAUUUGUGUUUCUAAAUGAGACUUGGUAAUUUGUAAAUUUCACAUUUAAGAGCUGAUUUGCCCUUUAGAAAUUUUGUUCUUUAGAAAGAGUUCCACUUUCAAAAACACUGUAAAUUGUUAAUUGUACUGCUAAAUGUGGACACUUCAUUGGGACCCUAAGUAUAUGUGAAUAGGGAAUUUUGAAACAAAGAUUACUUUUACUGGGAAAGACUGAGUACAGGGAGUUUUGGUGAAAUCAGACUUCACUCCUUAAGUAAAAAGAACAACAAAAUGUAAAACUCACAUGAAUUUUUGUUAAGCAGUUGUUGGUGUUUAAAAUUACAAAGUACAACAUUAAUCCUUUUCUAUGGAACACUGAUUCUUUUCAUCUGAUGAAUUUCAAUAAAACUGAUUAAG